rnacentral:rRNA from 1 species
GAUGAACGCCGGCGGUGUGCCUAAUACAUGCAAGUCGAACGCGUUGGCCCAACUGAUUGAACGUGCUUGCACGGACUUGACGUUGGUUUACCAGCGAGUGGCGGACGGGUGAGUAACACGUAGGUAACCUGCCCCAAAGCGGGGGAUAACAUUUGGAAACAGAUGCUAUUACCGCAUAACAGUUUGAAUCGCAUGAUUCAAAUUUAAAAGAUGGUUUCGGCUAUCACUUUGGGAUGGACCUGCGGCGCAUUAGCUUGUUGGUAGGGUAACGGCCUACCAAGGCUGUGAUGCGUAGCCGAGUUGAGAGACUGAUCGGCCACAAUGGAACUGAGACACGGUCCAUACUCCUACGGGAGGCAGCAGUAGGGAAUCUUCCACAAUGGGCGCAAGCCUGAUGGAGCAACACCGCGUGAGUGAAGAAGGGUUUCGGCUCGUAAAGCUCUGUUGUUAGAGAAGAACGUGCGUGAGAGCAACUGUUCACGCAGUGACGGUAUCUAACCAGAAAGUCACGGCUAACUACGUGCCAGCAGCCGCGGUAAUACGUAGGUGGCAAGCGUUAUCCGGAUUUAUUGGGCGUAAAGCGAGCGCAGGCGGUUUGAUAAGUCUGAUGUGAAAGCCUUUGGCUUAACCAAAGAAGUGCAUCGG